rnacentral:lncRNA from 1 species
CCCCCUCUUUCUCCUAUAACCCUGCAUACAAGCUCUUAAAUGCCGCCAUCUUAGCCACUAUAACUGCUAACUUAGCCUCCUUCGUAGCUAACUUUUAUUCUUCCCUGUUUAUCCGCUUCUCUUCUCCGUCCUUACUCUUAACCAACUUAGUAUACGCCCCUUUCUUGGUCUCCACUUUCUUCUUAACCUCUUUAUUCCACCACCAAUCCCCCCGAUGAUACCCAGACCGGCACCUAAAAACACCCAACACCUCAAUAGCAUUCUCCCUGAUGCACCUAGCCAC